rnacentral:tRNA from 1 species
GAGGGUAUAGCUCAGUUGUAGAGCACAUGCUUAGCAAGCACAAGAUCCUGGGUUCAAUCCCCAGUACCUCCU